UCUGUGUGUUCACUGUUCUCUCUCUAUAUCUCUCUAGAUCCUAAUUUCCCAUCUCAGUUUGGCGGUGUGAGUCAGGGCUCUCGGUCCUGGGAUCACAGCAGUGCUGCUCCGUAUUCGCUGUCUCCAUCCUUCAUGCCCUAUCGUCUGCCACCCUACCUGCAGCAGCCCAACAAACCCUUCAUCUCACAAGGUUCUGUGGUGGCAAAUCAACAUUACCCGCUGAUUCAACACGGCCGACACGGCCAUCUCAACUACAUUCAACAGAAGAAAUGAAGAAAGACACUUUGUAAACCAAUGCCCAAGGUCCUUAUAGAAAAAAGAGACUAACUUUGCAUCAUUUGGAAACUUUUUAAAAUGAAUUUUAUCAUUUUUGUACAGUUUUUAUGUUUUAUUUUCCUUUUAUUUCUGUGUGUAUCAUCACAUUGAUUUGUGAUACAAAAUGACAAAUAUUUUAAUGCCCCUAUUUUUGGAGGGGUACAAAAAAAGUGUUUUUAUUUUAUGUGUAAAAUAAGGAUUUAAAAUGUAUUUACUUUAUUUUUAUUAGCUGUAUUCAUAUUUUGCUUGCAUAAGGACAAAGGCUUUAGAUAGUAAAAUCAAACAUAACCCACUAAGACAAUUAUGUAGUGCCAAAAACUUCCCUAUAGCAAACCAAGAAAACAGACAAAAAAAUAAAGAAAAGACCAAAAAAAAUAAAGAAAACGC